GACCUCCUCCUUCACUCCACCUUCCGCUCCUCCCAUCAUAUAUCUUCCAGCCGCACCAAAUCCACCAUUUAUGCUCUUCUUCUGGCACCCUUGUCCCCCAAUACUGGAGGCCAUUUAAAAAAUUUGUUUUUGCGCCUCUCUCUGUCUCGCAAACUCUCCGGGCGUCUUCGGCUCUCCGCCCUCUCGUUUCCGGCUCUCCACCAUCGGCAUCUUCAGCCCUCCGCCCUCGGCUUCUCCGGCUCUCUGCCCUCGGUGUUUCCGACUCUCUGCUCUCAUCAUGUCUCUCAGUCUCCCAGCCUCUCCGGUUCUGGUUCUCCACCCCCAGAGGGCUUUCAAGUUCGAAGCCCCUCUCUCAGCAUAUCUGUGAGCUAUACUUAACAAUAAAUCGCGUUUUUGGUUAGGAAAUUCAUUUUCCAAUGUUAGAAAUUAAUAGGUUGCUGGUUUCGACCUUUAAUUUUGCUUGGAGGGAGUCUGGUGUUUAACGGUCUUUUGCAACUUGUGUGGAGAAAAUUAUGCUGAAAAGUUGAUUAGCUACUCCGAAGCAUGGACCUGGGAACUGAUGCUGCUGGUUAUGAGGUUAUCAAGAGUUUGGCUUCAAUGUGAAAGUGGGAUUCCACCUCAAGACAUUUAGAGUAUUUAUAGGCUAUUUCCCACCAAGAUUUACAUUCAAAAAUAUGUAAUGAUUAUUUUGUAGCAUGCUUGCUUCUAUUGGAACUUGUAAAGCAAUUAAUAGCUGGCUUGGGAAAAUGGAAUACACAACCAUCAAGCAAUCCAUUUUCAACAGUAAUUUAAAAAUGAAAAAGAAAUCAGAAUCCUUUGGGCGGGAGAAUGGGGCAUUUUUAUAGGCCAAAUCCCCUCUCUAUAUUAUAAUAAGAGAUUCUCUCAAGCAAAUUGUUAACAUUUUUCUAUAA